rnacentral:rRNA from 2 species
CAGCCGCCGCGGUAAAACCAGCACCUCAAGUGGUCAGGAUGAUUAUUGGGCCUAAAGCAUCCGUAGCCGGCUCUGUAAGUUUUCGGUUAAAUCUGUACGCUUAACGUACAGGCUGCCGGGAAUACUGCAGAGCUAGGGAGUGGGAGAGGUAGACGGUACUCGGUAGGAAGGGGUAAAAUCCUUUGAUCUAUUGAUGACCACCUGUGGCGAAGGCGGUCUACCAGAACACGUCCGACGGUGAGGGAUGAAAGCUGGGGGAGCAAACCGGAUUAGAUACCCGGGUAGUCCCAGCUGUAAACUAUGCAAACUCAGUGAUGCAUUGGCUUGUGGCCAAUGCAGUGCUGCAGGGAAGCCGUUAAGUUUGCCGCCUGGGAAGUACGUACGCAAGUAUGAAACUUAAAGGAAUUGGCGGGGGAGCAC